rnacentral:misc_RNA from 1 species
AAAUGCGAUAAGUAAUGUGAAUUGCAGAAUUCAGUGAAUCAUCGAAUCUUUGAACGCACAUUGCGCCCGCCAGUAUUCUGGCGGGCAUGCCUGUCCGAGCGCCAUUUCAACCAUCAAGCCCCCGGGCUUGUGUUGGGGACCUGCGGCUGCCCGCAGGCCCUGAAAACCAGUGGCGGGCUCGCUGUCACACCGAGCGUAGUAGCAAUCACCUCGCUCAGGGCGUGCUGCGGGUUCCGGCCGUUAAACAGCCUUACAAAACCCAAGGUUGACCUCGGAUCAGGUAGGAAGACCCGCUGAACUUAAGC